AUUAUUCAUAACGACUACAUGUGUGUACAUAUUUUCUUGACAUGUUAACAGUCAAAACAAAGCAGUUUUUCAAGUAGUAAUUAUGUCCUUUUUCUUAUAAACGAAAAACACGAAUAGCUUCACUGAAAUUGUAUUAAAAUAUAAUUUUAAAGGGAACUUUUACUGCUGAACAAAUUCGUAUUACACAAUGACUGAAUAUGAACCGUGUUUACUAAUACAUGCGUGCUAAAAAUCCUUCAUUAGGCAACACGAACAGCAGGAAGGAUUAAGGUAUUAGAGUCCAUUGGUAAGUUGAUAUGACAGUAAUAGAUCUAUCCAUGUGAAUAAAAUCUAAAACCAAACAGAUUUACUGGAAAAUUGGCUUUUUAAAAAAAAACAAAAAACAGACUUUAUUAAAUGCACUCUAUACUAGCUUUCAAAAUACUCUUAUGUUUUAAUUAUCUAGGGUUUCCUUUCAGGAUUGCUUUCAAACAACUGAGAAAACUCACCGAAGGCUUUCUUAAGUUCACCAAGGUGCUUUGUAAAUUCAACCGCUGGGUCGACUACACCUUGAACAAUUUUAUCUCUGGGUAACGUGAGCGCUGGCAUGGUAGGCGCGACUCGCAUCUUAAGAAAACCGGCAACAUGUUUUAGUUGCGAAGCACAAUCUCCUCCUCCAUGGCCACCAUAGCUUACAAUCAAAAGCGGUUUUCCAUUCCACUCGUGAUACAAGUGGUCUAAGGCAUUUUUAAGGAUUGCAGGAUAUCCACCAUUGUAUUGCGGAGUUACAAAAACAAAACCAUCUGCUCCAGCAAUUUUGGACCCCCAGGCCUUAGUAUGUUCCUGAGUGUACACAUCUAUUCCCAUAAUUGGAAGUCCGGGUUCAUCGCUCAUAGAUAGAGGCCAAUCAGUUAAAUCAACUUUUUCGUAGUCAAAAUUAGUCUCUCUUUUUCCCAUCUCACCAACCCACGUUGCAAUAGUUGGACAUAAGCGUUUGCUGCGAACGCUUCCCAUAAUAACCAGGAUUUUGGGAGUAAUCUUCAGUAAUUUUUCAGGCAAGGUCAUGAUGUUAAUAAUGUAAAUGAAUAUCUGAGUAUUCUUUUACUGUGUGAAACAAUGUAGUGCUUUUAUAAACUAGCAUGUUGUUAUGUCCGAGCCUCGGACAUGACUAAUUGUUCAAGAUAACUUAGUAAUAUUAAAAAAAUUAGAAAUUCUGUCAUCAAAUGGUAAAAAAGGCUUUAUUUUGUUUUAUAAUUGGCUAACAAACUUUCAAUUUCAUCUAGUACAUUCAUCCUAAGUACUUAUUACUUCGGCACCUGAAUCAAGUAAUUUAUUGAUAUGGCGACCGAAAUAUAUAUACUAGUGCUGUAUUUUUAAGGUGCUGGAGCAAUCUUGGUCCAUUACCAUAAAGCAGCCGUUUAAAAAAAUUAAAAUAAACAAACUCGUUGAUCAGAUAUCGUUCAAAAACUAAGAAACGAAUUCAAAUUCCCUGCCAAAGAAACGGUCAAAACCACAUAAAAGUUGCGAUUUCGUAUUAUAUUAUUGUUUAAUAAAGAUUAGCGUUACAUUACAAAACUGCCAAAUCUUCAAUGUUAUCUCGUGCUGGCAAUUUUGUAUAGCACCUUUUUGCGCCAUAAGCCCUAAGAAAUAUUGCCGCAUUUUGAAUAUCAUAGAUCUCCUUUACAGAAACCUAUCUUAAUCAAUUUACUAAGUUAAAUUUCGGCUAGAUAUGUUUACUUCAAUUGCUCUAGAUCCGCUGAAGUCAUAAAGCUUUACUUUCUUCCAUCUCCUUUUUAAUUUUGCUCUUUUUUUUUAACAAUGAAAAUCCAAAACGUGUUAAUGUAUCUUGCUGCAUAAUUAGAUGUUUAAAAUAAGCUUCCCCUUCAC